rnacentral:lncRNA from 1 species
UGAGAGUUUUAUCGGACAUUUUGACCAAGUUUGGGAACUUUCUGAUGUUUUAUCUCAAUUUAUUUGCAUAUGUUUCUUAUUUUUGACUAAGUUUUGAUUAAUUGUUACUAAUUGCCUCCGCAAGCUGACCAAGUAUAAAAAAUAUUCCUGAGUGGCAACCAUAAAGAAUCUCAGUGGAUUGGCUGGCAGCUUCAACAACUGUGGAAGGAAUCGGUUAUGCUUUCAUGUUCAUGG